UCGUGCUAGGCGGGGAACUAGCGGUGCCCUGCACCCGCAAUCCGCUAUAGCGGGGCUGAAUUCCCGGUUGAGGGAUUGUGGCUCCCGUGCGAUCGGUGGCGGGAAGUGGCGUUGAUAACCAGGACCCGCGCAACGAGAACCUGUCAACCCCGUCAGGACCGGAAGGUAGCAGCGGUAAACAGUCAAUCUUGUGUGCCGCGGACCUGCCUGGCAGGAGCUAACCCCGUCACAAGAGCCGGGGAUGCAUUUCGAUUCCGGGUGCACGG
rnacentral:SRP_RNA from 1 species